CCGAAUCAUUGAUCGUAAAAAUACAAAAUUACAAUAUGUAGAACUCGCUUUAGUUUCCUAGCAAAUAAUGAAAGAACCUCUUGGAUAAAAUUUAGUGUCUUUAGCUGCCACCAUACGUUAGGAACAUCAACAAUAAAACUCGUCCCUCAAAGCAACCUGUAUAUACAAGAAUAUAUAUAAAUUAGUAUAAUAAGAAAAUCAUACAAGUUACAAAUACCAUGGUCAAUAUUCAAUACAUGAUCUCUAUUACAAUAUUAUUCUCAUUCUUAAUUGUUGUAAAAAUAGAAUAACUUCAAAAAUAGCUAGAAACUAAAAUUAACAGCAAACAAUGCGAACAAAGCGAAGAAGAAGAUUAGUAGAGCUAGUCAAUCAUGUACGCCCCCAACAUCAUGAAUUUAGCGUAAAGUGUAUGUUCUUAACAAUUUAAAAAUAUAACUAUGUCGACCAACUCCCUCUGGAUCAGUAUUAAAAUAUAAAAAUGGUGAUCAAGUGAAAAAAGGACUGGGGAAAAAGAGAGCAUACCAGUAAGAAGAUUUGGAGUUUUAUCAUCCAGAGCAACAGGAAACUGCACGGACAAGAUAUACAUUAAUGAAUAACAAGAAACCCAAGUUAGAAAUACAAUAUUAUUAAAAAUACAAGGAAAUGUAGACAUUCUCAAAUAUCCUCCAAUCAUGUAUAUGAACAUAGCUUACAUUUACAUGUGCCAAGAAAAAAAGUUGCAAGAGAGAUCGAGAUAAGACGAUUACCAACAAAAACUUAUGAUCUAUAAAUCAACUAAAUCACUCAACACCGUAGAAAAAAAAAAAAAAACCAAAUAACGAGGGUCACACAACAUUUACUCGAAUGAGAUUUCCAAUUGUCUCUGUUCAAUCACCUGAAUGACAUUUUCAAUUGUCUCUAUACAAUUACCUAGGAAAUUAGUCUUGCAUCAAUAUUCACCUCCUAUUGAAUGUAUCUUUACAUAUAAUUUGCAAGAUUGAGUUAAAUUAUUUAGAUAAGUAAAUUAGGAAGCAAAAUAUCGGCUCCUAAAAUGAUUCCUGACAUUGCAUGCUUAAUAUUUAGAAUAUAUAUAGUAUAAAUAAUAAAAUGAGAGCUAAUCAAUUGAUUAAAGAGUCAGAUUAUUUAAUACAAUACAAAAUAAUAAUAAAAAAAAAAAGAAAAAAAAAGAGAGAAGAAGAUCAACAAAACCAGAACUAAAAUUUCUUGCAAGAACUGCACACGAGUUGAAUAAUGAAACAUACUCCACAAAGAAUUCAAAUUAGAGUAAAAUAUUAGAGUAUUUUGGUAAAAUUAUUUAUGUUCUUCUGCAUAAACGAAUCACUAGUGCGCCACUACAAUUGAGAACAUAAUAGGAUUUUAAUUUAUUUAAUAUAAGAAUUUAUCCUUUCUCCUACAAUUCCCCUAUCCCAUGUCGAACAAUCACAAGGCUAGUAUAGACAAUCAAUAACCAACAUAUUCUUAUUCCCAAUUUUAAAGUUUAUACACAUAUACAUAUUGAGUUAUUUAGAAAUAUUAAUAGUUAGGGCUUGAAUUUAAAUUAUUAGGCAUAAUUGUUUUCAUAAGAAUAAGAGUUCAAAAUCCAUUACCAUGAAGAAGAAAGGAAUUGACAGGAUUACCAUAUGAUUCGUUAUCAGGAUGAGCAAGAUAUUCUUUUGUUCUCCU
rnacentral:lncRNA from 1 species